AUCCGGCGGCGGCGAGUUGACCUUUGCUCUACAGCUGCUGAGAGUGGGCGGGAGGAGGAGGAGGAUCUGGGGCCAAGAUCAUGCCUAAGUGCGAGAGGAUUUCAGGGCAGCAGAGGCCGCUAGGCUUGGGAUGAAAGAAGCAGGGCAGAUGCAAAAUCUGGAGAGCGCGGGGGCCCGGCGGUCAGUCAGCACCCAGACUGGCAGCAUGACCGGUCAAAUACCAAGGCUUUCUAAAGUCAACCUUUUCACUCUGCUCAGUCUCUGGAUGGAGCUCUUCCCAGCAGUAGAAGCCCAAAGACAAAAAUCUCAGGAAAAGGAAGAGGGAAAGCAUGGACCCGUAGGAAAUAAUGAAGAGAUGGCCAGAGUAUCUACAGACAAAAAACAGGUGAAGAAAACUGGUCUUGUGGUGGUGAAAAACAUGAAAAUUGUUGGUCUUCACUGUUCGAGUGAAGAUUUACAUGCUGGGAAAAUUGCUCUUAUAAAACAUGGGUCAAGGCUGAAAAACUGUGAUCUUUAUUUUUCCAGAAAGCCAUGUUCUGCUUGUUUGAAAAUGAUAGUAAAUGCUGGAGUUAACCGAAUUUCAUAUUGGCCUGCUGAUCCAGAAAUAAGCUUGCUUUCUGAGGCUUCAAGUUCCGAAGAUGCAAAGUUAGAUGCCAAAGCAGUGGAAAGAUUGAAAUCAAAUAGUCGGGCCCAUGUGUGUGUCUUACUUCAGCCUUUGGUGUGUUAUAUGGUGCAGUUUGUAGAGGAGACCUCUUACAGAUGUGACUUUAUUCAAAAAAUUAUAAAAACACUGCCGGAUGCUAACACUGACUUUUAUUCCAAGUGUAGACAAGAAAGAAUAAAAGAAUAUGAAAUGUUAUUUUUGGUUUCCGAUGAAGAACUACAUAAGCAAAUACUGAUGACUAUAGGCUUGGAGAACCUAUGUGAAAACCCAUACUUUAGCAAUCUAAGGCAAAACAUGAAAGACCUUAUCCUACUUUUGGCCACAGUAGCUUCCAGUGUGCCCAACUUUAAUCAGUACGGAUUUUAUUGUGGCAAUACCGAACAGAUAAAUGAAAUUCACAAUCAAAGUUUGCCACAAGAAAUUGCAAGGCACUGCAUGGUUCAGGCCAGGUUAUUGGCAUAUCGAACUGAGGAUCAUAAAACAGGAGUUGGAGCAGUCAUUUGGGCAGAAGGAAAAUCUCGAAAUUGUGACGGAACGGGCGCAAUGUACUUCAUAGGAUGUGGUUAUAAUGCUUUUCCUGUUGGAUCUGAGUACGCUGACUUCCCAAACAUGGACGACAAGCAGAAAGACAGAGAAAUAAGGAAAUUCAGAUACAUUGUCCAUGCAGAACAGAAUGCCUUGACAUUUAGGUGUCAAGAAAUAAAAACAGAAGAAAGAAGUAUGAUUUUUGUGACCAAGUGCCCAUGUGAUGAGUGUGUACCUUUAAUUAAAGGUGCAGGCAUAAAACAAAUCUAUGCAGGGGAUGUAGAUGUUGGAAAAAAGAAGGCAGACAUCUCUUACAUGCGAUUUGGGGAACUGGAGGGUGUUAGCAAAUUUACAUGGCAGUUGAAUCCAUCAGGAACUAGCGUUCUUGAACAAAAUGAGCCUGAAAGCAGAGAGAAUGGUGUGGCAAGACCCAGCCUUUCGAACGAAGAACAGCACCAGAACAAGAAGCUGUGUCUUGGAAACCACUAAGAAGGCCUGUCUAUGUUGGAGUGAAGACCUCAAGAAUUUUUAUUGCACUUUAAAAAUGCUUAAUCCAGUGCCUACAACAGUGCCUGGCACAUACUAGGCAUUCACUAAAUAUUUGUUGAUUGAUCGAAUGACUGCUGGACACGGGCUCGACCCUGGAGAUGAGAUGUGUAGGAAAUGCUCCCUGACCUCAAGAAGGCCACCGUCGAGUGGAAGAUACAAGCAUGUAAUCAAGUGAUAGAGACCGAUUCUCAGAGUGGGUUCCCUGCACCAGUAGCAUCGCAUUGCCUGGGGAUUUGUUAGAGAUGAAGCUUCUGAGGGCCCGCCCAGACCUGUUGAAUCAGACACGUUCGCAGCCCCUCAGGUGGUUCCGAUGCCCUUCAAGGUUGUAGCCACCCUGUGGAUGUAACAGUAGGAGCAGUGGUGGCACAAAAGAGGACAAGCACACACUCCUAGGAGUCAUGGAGAGUCGGCCUUGGAGAAGUGGAGGUGCUUACAAUGGGUCCUGAAGGAACCCAGGGGGCUGCAGGCAAACUGGGGAUGAGAGGAACUCCUGAGAAAGCAGUGGAGAUAGGUGGUCACCCUGGGAAGCAGGACAGGGCAGUGACUGGGGACGUACACAGAAUGCUGAGCUGUAGUGGGGGGCCCCUGGGGUGACAAUAGCGACUAAGAUCUAGUAAUUCACAGUGCAGAGCCUUUGUCCCUUAGCCCAAGAAAUCAGGAUUUGCACUUAAACACUAAUACAUCUUGGAAGGAUAAUAGUAAAUUCAUAAUUUGUAAAGAAUAGUCCUGCAUUUGUUUACUGCCGAGGGACAACAGAAUAUGCCCAGGUGAGGUGGGAUAAGCAUGUGCGUGGUUCAUGCCACACCUGCCGGAUAGAGUACGCACAGGUUUAUGUGUAUUGUUUCGCUGUGAGUUUUUCUUCCUCAGUUAGUUUGCAGAAAUAUACCCUUCUCUCAUAAAUCUUCAUUUUAUGCAUGAGCACUUCUGCUUUCAGAUCUGCCGCAACACCCGGCUUUUGACCCACUUUAGCACAAAUGGCACUAAAUAUCAAUUUCUCGAAGUUCUGGUUUUGUCAACAGUGACCACUCGGCAUUUAGCUGCAGCUGUUACUAUUGCUUUUUAGGAUUAAGCAUCACUUUAGUACCUUCAUUUCAUGUGUAACUUUCCUGAAGUCUUUUUAUUUUUUGCUAUCUUUUUAAAUUAUAUCAUACUUCGGCCAUAUAAAAAAAGUAUAAAGAUAUUGUUAUAACAAAUUCUCAUGUACCCAAUAUGAAAGAUUAACAUAUACUGAUGCUUGGAGUCCUAAUCCUAGGUAACUUUAGUUCUCUUUUGAGAUCUAGGCUAGAGCUUUAUGUGGCAUCUUUUCUACAUUUGCUUUCAAGGGUACAUCCUGGGGUCCAAUGCUUACUGCAGGACUGCAGUGCUUCAGAGGCCAACCAAAGGGCAACUCAAGACCACUACCAAGAUUGCGCCCUCUUCUAAGACAGACUUUAUAGCCAGGCUGUUUCAUUUACUUUGUUACCUUUUGCCUCUCAGAUGUCUUCAUUCUCCUGAGCUGGUGAUACCUUUCCUAACAGGAAAAGAUAACCAGCUGCUCUGACCUGGGUGACCCAGUUCUGGUUACCUGGGCCAGUUUUUGAGAGUUUUCUAACUUCUUUGUAAGCUGGGGAGACUGGCCUCCUACCAGUUGAACUGUGAUGCUUUGUACAACAGAGUGAAGGAAGGGUCCUAACAUGGGUGAUGGGGGAUGCCUCCGCCACCUGCGAAGGUGAUUCUGUUACGGCUCAGCUACCUUUAUAACUUACUGCCUCUGGUACUUAGGCCUCUGUUAUUAUAUUUCUAGCCAACAUGUAAAUGUAUGGUACCAUUGAUUCAACUCCUGUGCACCCAGGGGCCAAACUCUGGGUUUGGCAUUCAGUUCCAAAUGGAAACUAAUUUGCUUUGAUACUUUUUAAAAUAGAGGAAACUGAAUGUUCGCUGUCAAAUUUCACAAAUUGAAUUUUGAGAAGCUUAAAAAAUGUGUCUGGUAGCAAAGUAAAAAUUUUUUUAUAUUCUAGAGUUGACAGUGUACAUUUACCACCACCAAAAAUUUAAAGCUGUGAGUUAUUCAAAAUUCUACCUGAGUGAUGUGCCAGAAAACCCUUCGCUGCUAUCUAGAGUAGUCGUACUGCCUUUGCUAGAAUUUUGUCUUUUGUUUUUGUAGCACAAGAAAAUCAACAUAGAUGAGGAUUUCUCAAACCUUGGCACUGUUGGCAUUUGGGGCCAGGCGAUUCUUUACUGUGGAGUCUGUCCUGUGCGUUGUAGACAGUUUAGCUGCAUCCCUGGUCUUUGCCCACUAGAUGCCAGUAGCAACUCCCCACCCAGUAUGACAACCAAAAAUGUUGCCUAAGGGGCAAAGUCACCCUCAGCUGAAAGCCACUAGUAUAAACCAUCCAGUGAGUGAGUAUAAUAAUGUAUUUUACUAUGUCCCAAUACUGUGUCAGACCUAAAGGCCAUUUCAUCUAGUCUAACCGUGACACCUAAGGCAUUUUGUAUGGUCAGGUACCAAAAUUUGAGGACAAUUCCACUGUACCGUCUUCAAAUAUCUUAACUGAAUUACGUUUAGGGUGGAUGAGUCAAAAGCAACCUGCAAUCUCUCACUUCAAUUUUAAUUUACAGGGGUAAAGUUUAUAACCUAUAGCUUUUGCUUUGUUUUGUUUGUGUUUCAGGUUACUGAUACAUGUGAAUUAGACCAUCUUGUAAACAUCCUCAACAUGUAAUAAUUUUUUCUACCUGUUUUCAAAGGGUCAUGGAAGAUCAACAGAGUAGCUACGCUUACCUGGGCUGUACAUAAAUCAAUCAAAAAGUUCAUUUGUGGGUUGGGGUUUUGUCACAGAUGGAUGUUACGUAGAACUAACUACCUGACUUGCUGCCCUCUGGAGCAGAGCAUUCAAUCUAGUAUAUUUGGCUCCUAGCACAUAAAAGUGAAAUACCUGCUAUGUGAUCUUCGCUGGCAUACACACUGUGGCUUAUUUUGCAAAUUUAGAGCACACUGUUCAGCAUGAUCAAAUUUUAUCUUCUCGUAUCAGCAUUUGACAUGUAUCUUAAAGUGAUGGAUAUUUUUAAUGAAAUUACUGUUGGCUAUUAAAAAUCUAGUGGAUCUAUUUAA